AUGAACGUCGCCGGCCCCGCCACCGCUUUCGUGCCGACCGCCAGGCCAGCGCCCCGCGCCCCGCGGCCGCUCUGGCGCCCCAGCGCCCGCUGCAACCUGAGCCCACGCGCCGCCACCGAGCCGCCGCCGGCGGCGCCCGUCUACGCCCCCACUCCGCGGGAUCGGCCUCUGCGGACGCCGCACAGCGGGUAUCACUAUGAUGGAACCGCCAGGGCUUUCUUUGAAGGAUGGUACUUCAAGGUCUCCAUUCCAGAAUGCAGGCAGAGCUUCUGUUUCAUGUACUCUGUUGAGAACCCAUUCUUUCGUGAUGGGAUGACUGCUCUCGACCAGACAUUGUAUGGUCCACGGUUUACCGGUGUGGGAGCGCAGAUUCUUGGUGCGGAUGACAAGUACAUAUGCCAGUUCUCUGAAAAAUCAAACAACUUUUGGGGGAGUCGACAUGAGCUAAUUCUCGGAAACACUUUCAUUCCCAAUAAAGGCUCAACUCCCCCGGAGCGUGAAAUCCCUCCUCAGGAAUUUUCUAAUCGCGUUUUGGAAGGCUACCAAGUCACACCAACUUGGCAUCAGGGCUUCAUACGUGAUGACGGAAGGUCAAAGUAUGUGCCAAACGUCCAAACAGCUCGUUGGGAGUACAGCACCCGUCCAGUGUAUGGCUGGGGUGAUUUCACAUCUAAGCAGAAGUCAACAGCUGGUUGGCUUGCUGCUUUUCCAUUCUUUGAACCUCAUUGGCAGAUAUGCAUGGCAGGUGGCCUAUCCACAGGAUGGAUAGAAUGGGAUGGAGAACGGUUUGAAUUUGAAAAUGCUCCCUCCUACUCAGAGAAGAACUGGGGUGGGGGGUUCCCCAGGAAGUGGUACUGGAUCCAGUGUAAUGUCUUCUCAGGCACAUCUGGUGAAGUUGCUUUAACUGCUGCUGGUGGAUUAAGGAAAAUUGGAUUGGGAGAUACCUACGAGAGUCCUUCACUGAUUGGUGUCCAUCACGAGGGAAAAUUUUACGAGUUUGUGCCUUGGACUGGGACAGUAAGCUGGGACAUUGCUCCUUGGGGUCACUGGAGGAUGUCUGGCGAGAACAAAAAUCAUCUGGUCGAAAUAGAAGCAACCACCAAAGAACCGGGGACCGCUUUGCGAGCCCCAACAAUGGAGGCUGGAUUGGUACCAGCAUGCAAAGACACAUGUUAUGGAGAUCUCAAGCUGCAAAUGUGGGAAAAGAAAUACGAUGGGAGCAAAGGGAAGAUAGUACUUGACACUACAAGCAACAUGGCAGCGGUGGAAGUUGGGGGAGGUCCCUGGUUCAACGGGUGGAAAGGCACGACCGCUUCGCCUGAGCUUGUGAAUAACAUCGUUGGUACUCAGAUCGACGUGGAGAGCCUGUUCCCAAUUCCAUUUCUCAAGCCCCCUGGUCUGUAG
rnacentral:rRNA from 1 species